rnacentral:rRNA from 1 species
GAUGAACGCUAGCGGCAGGCUUAAUACAUGCAAGUCGAGGGGUAGCAAGAUUGUAGCAAUACAAUUGUUGACGACCGGCAAACGGGUGCGGAACACGUACACAACCUUCCUACAAGUGGGGAAUAGCCCAGAGAAAUUUGGAUUAAUACCCCGUAACAUAGCGAUGUGGCAUCACAUUGCUAUUAUAGCUUCGGCGCUUGUUGAUGGGUGUGCGGCUGAUUAGAUAGUUGGCGGGGUAACGGCCCACCAAGUCUACGAUCAGUAGCUGAUGUGAGAGCAUGAUCAGCCACACGGGCACUGAGAAACGGGCCCGACUCCUACGGGAGGCAGCAGUAAGGAAUAUUGGACAAUGGACGCUAGUCUGAUCCAGCCAUGCCGCGUGAAGGAUUAAGGUCCUCUGGAUUGUAAACUUCUUUUAUAAGGGACGAAAAAAGGUCUUUCUAGAUCGUCUGACGGUACCUUAUGAAUAAGCACCGGCUAACUCCGUGCCAGCAGCCGCCGUAAAAC